AUUGAACGCUGGCGGCAGGCCUAACACAUGCAAGUCGAGCGGAUGAAGGGAGCUUGCUCCUGGAUUCAGCGGCGGACGGGUGAGUAAUGCCUAGGAAUCUGCCUGGUAGUGGGGGAUAACGUCCGGAAACGGGCGCUAAUACCGCAUACGUCCUGAGGGAGAAAGUGGGGGAUCUUCGGACCUCACGCUAUCAGAUGAGCCUAGGUCGGAUUAGCUAGUUGGUGGGGUAAAGGCCUACCAAGGCGACGAUCCGUAACUGGUCUGAGAGGAUGAUCAGUCACACUGGAACUGAGACACGGUCCAGACUCCUACGGGAGGCAGCAGUGGGGCAUAUUGGACAAUGGGCGAAAGCCUGAUCCAGCCAUGCCGCGUGUGUGAAGAAGGUCUUCGGAUUGUAAAGCACUUUAAGUUGGGGGGAAGGGCAGUAAGUUAAUACCUUGCUGUUUUGACGUUACCAACAGAAUAAGCACCGGCUAACUUCGUG
rnacentral:rRNA from 1 species